UUUUUUCUCCUCGACGACGACAUAGAUCUAUCCCGAUCGAUGUAUAUUCUUGCUUGAACAAGUCUCAUCCCAUCACAGUGACGCCGAUCUCUGCUUCUUACACGACAUGAGAGUCUAUUCUAAUGAUGUCCGGAUGUUCUCUCGCUUCGGUUAUCAGACAUCCUCCUUUACAAAGGAGCUCCUUUCCCGUCCUACGCAUUUUGCCGUCGAGGCUUUGUCUGUGUCUCUGAUGAGAUAUAACGCUUCCGUGAUAGAGCUAGGGAGUGAAGACACUGCUCUUUAUGCGAUCUUUUAUCUUAAAGUGAAAACUUUAGAUAUUGCUUGUCCCAACAAGCUUGGUUUUCCUCUCACUGCAUGCCUUAGAUAUUGCUAGUCACUGGCUCCAAAUGUACAGUAAUAACCUCGAAAGAGAGCUUCGAUGGUUUGGUGAUGGAAUUUGGAUAGAAUGGAAGAGUUGUUGGUGUUGAGAGAGGUGAGGUCAUUGCUUUGUUCUUGGCGAGAGAGGUCACGGAGUACCAGUUGCUCUUGUAUUCUUUUUUGUUUUGUAUUCUCGUAUCACGCUAACUGAUUUUAUUGCUCUUGUAUUAUUUUCUUGUCUUGUAAAAUUUUAUGUUUAAAAAUAAGUUUAAUACUUUUUUAUUGUUAA